rnacentral:rRNA from 1 species
AUGGAGGACGUCGCUGGCGGUGGUUCAUCCUGGCCGUACGCCAAGAAGCUGCAGCUGCACCAGCUGGGGCGGUCGCUGACGUACCACCACCCCUACCACGGCCAUGGGCGCCGCCUGCAGCCUGCGGAGCGCCACCAGCUCCCUGAUGUGUCUGCCCCAUGGCCGGAGGUGGUGCUCUACACGACGUUGCUCCGCGGCGUGCGGCGCACCUUCACCGACUGCUUUGCAGUGCGCGCCGUGCUACGCGGCUUCCGCGUGGCCAUGGACAAGCACGACGUGUCCAUGGACACCGCGCUCUAG